rnacentral:lncRNA from 1 species
CAGAGAUGUCUUGUGGGGCUCCCAAGUACUCCAACCUCAAGGAGGGCAUGUGGCAAAGCAUGGCAGGGAAUACUUUCAAAAGUGGAAUCCAGGAAGAAAAUUCCUUGGGAAACUUUGGACUGGAUUCUCAACAAACCCUUCAGAGAGACUUAAAGCUGGUAAAAGACCUUUUGCAAAAGUGAUCCAGGGGAGCCUCCACUUUGUUUCUCUGGAUAUUUCUCUGUUGAAAUAUAGGUGUCAAGCAUGUCCCAUUUUAGAUGCUCUUCAGACUUCAAAACAUUACCUUCCUGCUUUCAGGGAGCCAUUUCAUCAGCUUUUGUACUGUGUAUUCACUGCGGACCCUGCUGUUAUGCAAG